rnacentral:rRNA from 1 species
AUCACUAAGCGGAGGAAAAGAAACUAACAAGGAUUCCCUCAGUAACGGCGAGUGAACCGGGAAGAGCCCAGCACCGAAUCCCCUGCAUAGACUGUAGAGGGAACUGUGGUGUUUGGGAGAGCCUGUGGGGCGGGCGGUGGCGUCCGAGUCCUUAUGAACGGGGCUUUUGCCAGAGCGGGUGUCAGUCCUCUAGGACGCAGCCGUCCCGUCGCUCAGUACCUCCUAGGAGUCGGGUUGUUUGAGAUUGCAGCCCAAAGUGGGUGGUAAACUCCAUCUAAGGCUAAAUACUGGCACGAGACCGAUAGCAAACAAGUACCGUGAGGGAAAGUU